UAAUAGAAUCAACCCAAGUCAUAUCAUGUCUGUGCAGAAUUCAAAUAUUCAAGUAUUUCAGCAAGACAUAAAAGAACACAUAGUGGGAUACAAACUUUAUGAAUGUCAUGUUAGUUAUUAACAUGCAGUUAUCAUAGGGUGUAGUGGACUAAGCCAUCCCUUUAAUGUGUUUCUUUAGUUGGCAGAAGAGUUCAAAGGCCCCUUCAUAUUUUUUGAAGAUUACAUGACAUACGAUAUUAAUUUUACUCAUUGCAUAUGUAAAGUUACAGAUGAGCCAUGUAUUCCAUAGAAUGCAAAGUAUUUAACUAUUUCUGGGUUAAGUUAGAUUUUAAGUUCAAUGAUUUAGAGUAAAGUAUUGUUUUUAAGAAGUUAUAUAAAACUGAUGAUAUAAUCAAUCUUUUUGGGUCAAGGAUAACCUGCACAAAUAGCUCUUUCCAUUUAUUUCAUAAAAGUGCAAACAUUGAUAUUUAUACACUAGGGACAUAUGGUGUACUCAUUCCCAAGAAUCGUAAUUAUGGGUAGAAUGAAGUGUCAGUGCUCCCCAUGAAAGGCCCCUUUGAUCUACUGUUCAGAGUGUCAACAGGGAGAGCUUUCCAAAUGCUACAUAAAGAUUAGCCCAGGGACCUUCCUUGACGAGGCACACCCCCUGGCUCUUGCCGGGCACAGCUCUUAGGGGUUAUGCUACUGAGGAAUGAUGAUUUUUACCUUGCUGACAUUUUUUCACACACAACACAAGGCCAUCGGCCCUCCCCCCUAGGGUACUAACCCUAUUGCACCGCUAUAAAGCAAAAUGGACCUUUGUAUGCCCCGGUUAAAAUGUAAGCAUGAACUACUAAGUAUGUUAGCUUAUGAAACGAGACAAUUCAUAGGAAAGUAGUGAAAGAGGACACGUUGGUUGUGAAUUUGCCAUCCUCACGAUAAUGUUCACCCAGUAUGAAAUGAAAAGGCAGUGCACAAACUGUGCAGAGUCCAUUUUGCAUGUUAGCACACAAUUUGAUUGUAUAUUGUUGAAUUAUAAUCGUAUCUUUUUGGUAGUGGUAGAUUCAGCCAAGUUGUUUCAGGGGCAUGCUAGACAGGUGAGGACUCUGAACCUGGCACUGGGCUAGAUACUUGGGGUAUUAAACUCAAUUACACAUACCACAUGAAAAUAUAUUUGUAGUACUAAUUAUAUGCAAUAUCUCAAAUACUCAGAGGUAUGAUAAUGACUAUGACUACUUAGUGCUAAUUAAACAGUGCAAUGUUGAACGGUCUAUGCCGGGAUAGAUAUCAAGAUAACUGCAGAUUUCGAGGGAUACAACUACCUGAAUAUUCAAGCGGAACUUCAAUCAAAAAGUC
rnacentral:lncRNA from 1 species